rnacentral:tRNA from 1 species
CAGGAAGUAGUUUAAUGAGAAUGCUGGCUUUGGGUGUCAGUGGUGGAGUUUAGUCUUUCUUCCUGA